UACGUAGGGUGCAAGCGUUGUCCGGAAUUAUUGGGCGUAAAGAGCUCGUAGGCGGUCUGUCGCGUCGGCUGUGAAAACUCGGGGCUCAACUCCGAGCUUGCAGUCGAUACGGGCAGGCUAGAGUUCGGCAGGGGAGACUGGAAUUCCUGGUGUAGCGGUGAAAUGCGCAGAUAUCAGGAGGAACACCGGUGGCGAAGGCGGGUCUCUGGACAGUUCCUGACACUGAGGCACGAAGGCCAGGGAGCAAACGGG
rnacentral:rRNA from 1 species